UUAGCGGCGGACGGGUGAGUAACACGUGGAUAACCUACCUAUAAGACUGGGAUAACUUCGGGAAACCGGAGCUAAUACCGGAUAAUAUUUUGAACCGCAUGGUUCAAAAGUGAAAGACGGUCUUGCUGUCACUUAUAGAUGGAUCCGCGCUGCAUUAGCUAGUUGGUAAGGUAACGGCUUACCAAGGCAACGAUGCAUAGCCGACCUGAGAGGGUGAUCGGCCACACUGGAACUGAGACACGGUCCAGACUCCUACGGGAGGCAGCAGUAGGGAAUCUUCCGCAAUGGGCGAAAGCCUGACGGAGCAACGCCGCGUGAGUGAUGAAGGUCUUCGGAUCGUAAAACUCUGUUAUUAGGGAAGAACAUAUGUGUAAGUAACUGUGCACAUCUUGACGGUACCUAAUCAGAAAGCCACGGCUAACUACGUGCCAGCAGCCGCGGUAAUACGUAGGUGGCAAGCGUUAUCCGGAAUUAUUGGGCGUAAAGCGCGCGUAGGCGGUUUUUUAAGUCUGAUGUGAAAGCCCACGGCUCAACCGUGGAGGGUCAUUGGAAACUGGAAAACUUGAGUGCAGAAGAGGAAAGUGGAAUUCCAUGUGUAGCGGUGAAAUGCGCAGAGAUAUGGAGGAACACCAGUGGCGAAGGCGACUUUCUGGUCUGUAACUGACGCUGAUGUGCGAAAGCGUGGGGAUCAAACAGGAUUAGAUACCCUGGUAGUCCACGCCGUAAACGAUGAGUGCUAAGUGUUAGGGGGUUUCCGCCCCUUAGUGCUGCAGCUAACGCAUUAAGCACUCCGCCUGGGGAGUACGACCGCAAGGUUGAAACUCA
rnacentral:rRNA from 1 species